rnacentral:rRNA from 1 species
GAUGAACGCUGGCGGCGUGCCUAACACAUGCAAGUCGAGCGAACAGACGAGGCGCUUGCUCCUCUGACGUUAGCGGCGGACGGGUGAGUAACACGUGGAUAACCUACCUAUAAGACUGGGAUAACUUCGGGAAACCGGAGCUAAUACCGGAUAAUAUACUGAACCGCAUGGUUCAAUAGUGAAAGACGGCUUUGCUGGCACUUAUAGAUGGAUCUGGGCCGUUUUAGCUGGUUGGUAAGGUAACGGCCUACCAAGGCAACGAUGCGUAGCCGACCGGAGGGGGGGGUAGGCCACCCGGGAGCGGGAACGGGCUCCAGACGCCUACGGGAGGCAGCAGAGGGGAAUCUUCGGCAGUGGGGGAAAACCUGACGGAGCAAGGCGGCGUGGGUGAUAAAGGUCUUGGGUUCGUAAAACCCGGUUUUGGGGGAGAAACAGAUUUGUAAUUAAAUGUGCACGUCGUGACGGUACCUAAUCAGAAAGCCACGGCUAACUACGUG